rnacentral:lncRNA from 1 species
UUGUCUAGUGGAUUGUCGGACGGCUUGUACAGUUUGGCAAUAACUUUCAAGAAGUGGGUUGUUGUGAUCACAUUGCCCAUGUAUUGGUCCCAUGCCGUCUGGAUCUUCUAUUCAAGAAUGGUAUACUUCCAAUGAAUGUCACGCUUUAGGUCGUAGGCACGGACACUGUAGUCGACGACUUCGGCUUCUGUCAUAAGGUCUGGAAUAAGGACGUAGAAGGGAACACCUGUCUGCAGUGUUGAUCCUGUUGUGCCAACCUG